GUCAAUUUAUACAUCCAAAUCAAAAUACGAAACAAUUGUACCUAGGUACCUAGUAAUUAUUUUAUUUUACUUAGGUAAUACAUCAAUUAUUUGUGUAGUAGGUACCUACACCUACCUACAAAAUAUAAGUACGCAGCGAAUGAAUGUUAAAAUAGUUUACGUUGUGUAAAUAGCGGAAAUUUUGAAGUGAAUUUAUAAUAGAUUUCUUUUUAAAUAAUACGUUCAUUGCUCAUACUUAAAUAUGAGUUCUGAUAUUCGAGACCAAGACUGUGCUGUUUGUCUACAAAAACAAGAUUAUCCAACUCAAUUGCCAUGUGGUCACAUCUUCUGUUUUCUCUGUGUUAAGGGAAUUGCUAAACAAAGCAGAAAAUGUGCAAUGUGUCGUGCUGAGAUUCCACCUGAUUAUUUAGAUAAUCCUAUCAUACUUGAAAACUUGGAAAAACCAGUAGAUAGCACAGUUGCGGCUGAAGACUACCAAUGGUAUUAUGAAGGGGCAAAUGGCUGGUGGAAAUAUGAUAAACGAAGUAAUGUUGACAUUGAAGCAGCAUACAGAGAUAAACAGGCUGAUUGUACUUUGCUCAUAGUAGGAGAACUGUAUAUCAUAGACUUACAGAAUAUGGUCCAAUUGCGAAGGAAUGAUACAACCAAGCGUCGUCGUAUUCGUCGUGAUACAACUGUAUUACCUGCUAAAGGUGUAGCUGGGAUUAAAAUGAAAGAUAAUAGAGAUCAAACAAAAAGCACAACGGAAUCGAACGAGACAGAGCAGGGAGGCGAUCCGAUUCAAGAAGAAAAUGUAAUUACUAUUCCUGAUGAGAGCUACAAUGACGUCACAUCUAAUAAUAGUAUUGCUAAUAUUUCAUCAGAUGUACAUAAUAUUAGUGAUAGCGUCGUACAAGCAUUAAGUUCUAUAAAUAUAGAUGAACCAGAUCAACCAGUCGAUCCAGAGGAUCCUGUCACUGAAGACACGUGAUUGUAAAUUCGACUCGAAAGAAAUAUUUCAUACCAUUACCAUUCCAACACACUAAAGUAUGGUCAAAUAUAACAAUUACCUAUUAUAUUGUUGCUUGAUAUAUGUAUUAUACUACCAAAACGUAAGUAGAAUAAUAUAGCUGAAUAAGAUUAUGAAAUGAAAUCUGUUUAAAAUGAUAAAAGAUAAAAAAUGUAGUAAAAGGCCUGUUUAAUUAAUUUUAUGUCCUACAUAACUUUAUUCGCCAAUUAGAAUAAGGGAAGCAGCACACAUCAAGAGCAGAACAGCAUUUUUGGAGAACAACAAGACCUGUUCCUGUUAGUGACUAUGAAGUAUAAAUAUAGUAUUAUCACUAUAUAUAUUACUAGAUGCUGCCCGGGGCUUCGCUCUCGUGGGAAUUUUGAGAUAAAAUAUAGUCUAUUGCAAUCUUGGAUAAUGUACAUUUGAAAGGUGAAAGAAUUUUUAAAAUCAGUUCGGUAGUUUCGGAGAUUACCAGCCUCAAACAUACAAACUCACAAACGCCUCUUCAAACAAUAUAUAGUUUUUUUAUCCACUUGAUCCAGGAGAUAAUAAAGACAAUAAAACAACAAUAUGAUUGCAGUCCAUCACCUACAGGAAUUUUAACCAGCUCAUUGAAAGUCAUUGUAUGGAGGGAUCUUACAACAAUAAUUAUUAUAAUAUACAAACCGAAACUAUUCCGAUGAGAAUACAGUGGUUACAUGAUUGCAUCACCACUCAUUUUACUUAAGUUCUAUUUGAACUAUAGCCCAUGAAUAGCACAAUAUGGCUGAGUGACAUAACUUGAGAAAGAAAUCAGGUCCAGGAGAACUCAACAAGAGUGUAUGAAGCACAGCUGUUUUGUUGAUGUAUCUAUGGCAGCACACAACAAUAUAAUAUUCUUGAUAAUACCUACUACACAAUAAAAACAAUGAUGAAGUAAAGCUAAACUCAUUUAUUUUUUAAUAUCAUUACACAGAUGUUACAGAUUACCAAGGUCUAAUGGGGCUUUGGCUAGCAUGAGUCAAUAUCCAAGUGUUGUGUGGUUUGGGCUUCAUGGACAUCUGUUUAUGACGGGGAUAUUUUGGACAGAUUACAUAUGUUCUUUCAUCUCUUACUACAAAGUAGCAGGAUUUACAACGUCUUCGCACAAUACCUUUGACUUUAAAAUUGCUAACAAUGCUAAACAUGGGUGUCCACGGAGUCAAUAAAUCUGAUCCACUCUCUAGAACUGACGAGACAAGAUUUGUUUGCCUUGUUAUAAGGACAGGAGUUUUAAUUGUUUUAACAAAUGAUAAUAAUCUCUGCAUAUUUUCGAUGACC